GAUGAACGCUGGCGGCGUGCUUAACACAUGCAAGUCGAACGAAGCUGUUAAAAGGAAGUCUUCGGAUGGAAUUUUAACAGACUUAGUGGCGGACGGGUGAGUAACGCGUGGAUAACCUGCCUUAUACAGGGGGAUAACGGAGAGAAAUUUCCGCUAAGACCGCAUAAGACCACAGCACCGCAUGGUGCAGGGGUAAAAUAUUAAUAGGUAUAAGAUGGAUCCGCGUCCGAUUAGCUUGUUGGUGAGGUAGAGGCUCACCAAGGCGACGAUCGGUAGCCGGCCUGAGAGGGUGAACGGCCACAUUGGGACUGAGACACGGCCCAAACUCCUACGGGAGGCAGCAGUGGGGAAUAUUGGACAAUGGGGGAAACCCUGAUCCAGCGACGCCGCGUGAGUGAAGAAGUAUUUCGGUAUGUAAAGCUCUAUCAGCAGGGAAGAAAAUGACGUACCUGACUA
rnacentral:rRNA from 1 species